rnacentral:ribozyme from 1 species
GAACUUAGGGAAUAAGAAAUAGAUAUAUAUUUUUAUUUUUUCGUUUUUUUUUUUUUUUACUCUCCAUUCUUCGU